AUCAUUGGAGGGAAGGAGGUGUACAUGUGCCUGUGUAUGGAGGCUGAUUGUGGUGAUGAAUGUGUGAGCGUUGGCUGCUUUUAAAGUUGCUGUUUUUUUGGAGGCAGCUUGUAGAGUUGUGUAAGUUGGGGGAGGCUUCUCAUAAGGCUGUGUGUGUGGAAGGGAUGCUUUUGUGAGGUUGUGUAUGUGUGUGUGGGGCUGUUUAUGUUGUAAUAUGUGUGUGCUUGUGAAUAAGACAUGCAUUAAUAG